AAUCGAAGCAGUGAACUUAAGCCCCAGUAAACGGCGGCCGUAACUAUAACGGUCCUAAGGUAGCGAAAUUCCUUGUCGGGUAAGUUCCGACCCGCACGAAAGGCGUAACGAUUUGGGCACUGUCUCAACAACAGACUCGGUGAAAUUGUAAUUCCGGUGAAGAUGCCGGAUACCUGCGACAGGACGGAAAGACCCCAUGGAGCUUUACUGUAGCUUGACAUUGGGUCUUGGUACUACAUGUACAGGAUAGGUGGGAGGCUUUGAAACCAGGACGCCAGUUUUGGCGGAGCCAUCCUUGGGAUACCACCCUUGUAGUACUGGGACUCUAACCAUAGGCCAUGAAUCUGGUCUUGGGACACUGUCAGGUGGGCAGUUUGACUGGGGCGGUCGCCUCCCAAAAGGUAACGGAGGCGCUCAAAGGUUCUCUCAGUACGGUCGGAAAUCGUACGUAGAGUGUAAAGGCAAAAGAGAGCUUGAUUGCAAGACAUACAGGUCGAGCAAGGAUGAAAAUCGGACUUAGUGAUCCGGUGGUUCUGCGUGGAAGGGCCAUCGCUCAACGGAUAAAAGCUACCCUGGGGAUAACAGGCUUAUCUCCCCCAAGAGUCCACAUCGACGGGGAGGUUUGGCACCUCGAUGUCGGCUCAUCACAUCCUGGGGCUGUAGUAGGUCCCAAGGGUUGGGCUGUUCGCCCAUUAAAGUGGUACGCGAGCUGGGUUCAGAACGUCGUGAGACAGUUCGGUCCCUAUCCGGCGCAGGCGUAGGAAAUUUGAGAAGACCUGUCCUUAGUACGAGAGGACCGGGAUGGACGUACCUCUGGUGUACCAGUUGUUCUGCCAAGGGCAUGGCUGGGUAGCUAUGUACGGAAUGGAUAAGCGCUGAAAGCAUCUAAGCGCGAAGCCAACUUCAAGAUAAGAUUUCCCACCGCAAGGGUAAGACCCCAGAAAGACUAUCUGGUUGAUAGGUCGAAGGUGUAAGUGCAGCAAUGUAUUUAGCUUAUCGAUACUAAUAGGUCGAGGACUUGACCAAU
rnacentral:rRNA from 1 species